AGAUUCGAUAAUACGAUCUGAAAACAUGGUUCCCUGGGAGUUUCGCUGAUAGCACCUUCUUCAUUGGGGAGGUGCUUUAUUAGUAACUCACCACACAAAC
rnacentral:snoRNA from 2 species